rnacentral:rRNA from 1 species
AUGCGCGGAAGCCUGAUCCAGCCAUGCCGCGUGAGUGAUGAAGGUCUUAGGAUUGUAAUGCUCUUUCACCGAUGAAGAUAAUGACGCUAGUCGGAGAAGAAGCCCCGGCUAACUUCGUGCCAGCAGCCGCGGUAAUACGAAGGGGGCUAGCGUUGUUCGGAAUUACUGGG